rnacentral:rRNA from 1 species
UACGGAAGGCAGCAGGGGGAAUAUUGCACAAUGGGCGCAAGCCUGAUGCAGCCAUGCCGCGUGUAUGAAAAAGGCCUUCGGGUUGUAAAGUACUUUCAGUCGUGAGGAAGGUGUUAAGGUUAAUAACCUUAGCAAUUGACGUUAGCGACAGAAGAAGCACCGGCUAACUCCGUGCCAGCAGCCGCGGUAAUACGGAGGGUGCGAGCGUUAAUCGGAAUUACUGGGCGUAAAGGGCACGCAGGCGGUUAAUUAAGUUGGAUGUGAAAUCCCCGGGCUUAACCUGGGAAUGGCAUUCAAGACUGGUUAGCUAGAGUCUUGUAGAGGGGGUAGAAUUCCAUGUGUAGCGGUGAAAUGCGUAGAGAUGUGGAGGAAUACCGGUGCGAAGGCGGCCCCUGGACAAAGACUGACGCUCAUGUGCGAAAGCGUGGGGAGCAAACAGGGAUUAGAUACC